rnacentral:rRNA from 1 species
CCCUUAGAUGUUCUGGGCCGCACACGCGCUACAAUGGUCUUCGCAAACGGAUGCAUUCUCGAAGGAGAAUGCCAAUCUUGGAAUCUAUGCCUUGGUCGGGACAGUUGCUUGCAAUUUUUCGACUCGAACCAGGAAUUCCUUGUAAUCGUGAUUCAUCACAUCACGAUGAAUACGUCCCUGCCCUUUGUACACACCGCCCGUCGCUCCUACCGAUCGAAGAGUUAGGUGAAUUGUUUUGAUCGAUAAGAUUUGACUAUGGUCAACUCUCGUUGUGAAAUUCUGUGAAUCUGACUGUUUAGAGGAAGGAAAAGUCGUAACA